rfam:Oryza rufipogon genomic scaffold, chr03
AAUAAGUGCAGUUUUGUACUAACCGUUCGUCUUAUUUGAAAUUUUUUUAUUAGUAUUUUUAUUACUAUUAGAUGAUAAAACAUGAAUAGUACUUUAUGUGUGACUAAAUAUUUUUAAAUUUUUCACAAAUUUUUCAAAUAAGACGAACGGUCAAACGUUGGACACGGAUAUCCACAGCUGCACUUAUU